rnacentral:lncRNA from 1 species
GUACUGUCCAGGGAAGCUUGGUCCAGAGGGGCUUACUCCAGAGGAGCUUAGAGAGGCAGAUGUGUCCCCCUGGAUGAGGAAAGCGGAUGUGCGGAAACGGGUGACGCCCAGAGGAAGUGACAGUGGCGCUUGGUCACCGAGAGGGCAGGGGAGCACGUGUGAAGGGUGCCGCUCAGGUGCGCCGAUUGCUUCUCAGCCCUCAGGGCGCAAGGCAGCUUUGAGGGCGUGUCAUCCGCAGCUGGCAGAUUUGUGAGCUCGUUCACACUGACAAAGAGGUGGCUUCACGGGACGUCCCAGCCCCGGACGCCUUGGAUUCAGAUUCACCUUGGGAGCCUGGCCAGAGACCCGCCAGCCAGCGCCCGGGCUCCUGAGCCGCGGAAAGCGGGAGACCCGGAGGGUGGUUUAAGCCGCCAGGCUUGUGUCGUUUACUCCAGAGCAGCACAACUCCAACAGACCCAUUCGUGUCAAAACUACUGUGUCGUGGUGGAAGAGCGGGGCCGAGAGAUUUCUUUAGUGCGACUCAGAGGCCGGGAGCUGGUCCAGUUAGAGAAACCCGGGUUCGCGUAGGAGGAGGUGAGCGCUAAGGUUCACCCGAGGCUGAGCCACUGAUCCUCGGCUGGGCUUUGAAUUGUGCCUUCCUGGUGACUCCGGCAGGGUUUAAAUGAGGCAGCUGUAACACUUCUGCCAUUAAGUGGCGCUUUAUUUGGGGAAAAGGAGGGAACCAGUCCCGGGAGAAAGGGGCAACCUGUUCUGAUUGAUCCCAGCGUUCAGCAAGUGGCGCCAGUUUCCCAGAGGGCUGUGCGCUGUGUUUUCACGUGAGGAGAAGCAUCCACAGCAGACCGGGCGGCAACGCAGAGAGCAGAGACAGUCGCCAGGCACGUGCGUUUUCACGGUAAACUUGCCUCCAGAGGCCAAUCCUGUUUUCCAGAGGUGUAAUUGAUUUUAGUUAUCAGUAGCGUUAAAAGAAAAAAGGCUCGGUGUUCCCACUGCGGUGUGGAGGGAACGAACCCGACCGGCCUCCAUGAGGGUGCGGGUUCAGUCCCUGGCCUCAGGGAGUCUGGGAUCCGGCGUUGCCGUGAGCUGAGGUGCAAGUCGCAGAUGCGGCUCAGAUCCCGCCCUGCCGUGGCUGGGGUGUAGGCCGGCAGCCGCGGCUCCAGUUUGACCCCUAAUCUGGGAGCCUCCAUGUGCCCUGAGAAGCAAGAAAAGAAAAAAAAUUCUUGCUCUGGGAUCACAUGGUCUCAGUGCUAAGUAAGGAAGAAAUUCAACGUCGAAAGGGACUUCAGGUGGCCUCCGGCUGAGAGCCCUCCCCGGUGGCAUUGCUCAGUCAUGUGCCCUUCGACUUUCCAGGUGUCGACCGGGCUUUGCUGGGAAGCACAUACAUCAGGCCCAAGUACAGCAACGUCUAAAGGACGUCAUUCUUUCUCACGCCAGGAAAGAUUCUUCACGUAUCUGCGCUCCAUCUAAUGAUCCCAUUUUUAUAAAGGGAAUUGUUCCUAAAGAGCCAGAGCAAUUCAAAACUUGAAUAAUUCGAGUAAUUUUCAUAAAAAAUGUGCAUUUUACUAGUUGAACUCCCGGAGACCAGAACAGCUGUAUCUUCCUUACUUGUAGCUCUUAGGGGAGACUCCCACUCCUCCCUCUGCUCUGAAAUCUCAGACGUUCAUUCUGCAGAGAGACCAUCUCUGCUGUAAAGCUCGGGAACUGCCCUUCCUUCCGUCUCUGGCAUUUAGAGCAGGGCCUGCCAGCCAGACACGCUGGAGGCUGAAACAUUCGCGGAUUGGGGCAUUCCGCGUGGUGCUCAGGCCAGGGACACCCCGUCGCCACUCCCGCCUGGGACCUCAGCCACGCUCACAGCUGCGCGAGCCUUGUUUUCCCCAGCCCAGGCGAGUGGCAGAGCCGCCAAAGGAAAGAGAAGAAGUGGGGGAGCGGCAUCCACACAUUUUCCUCCUCUUUUUCCUUACUUCGCGUGUAGUUGGCUGACAGUGUUGUGCCACUGUCUGCUGUGCUGCACAGUGCCCCGGUCACAGGAGCCAAGACAGGGGAACACGUCUCCUCCUUCGAGUCUUCCCACAGGAGAGCGGGGACUCGCUGUGUCUCAUGAGGGCUGCGCCGCCGCAAGGCCUCUGGUCUGGGGGCCGGAGCUUCCCGGUGCCCUUGGCCUCACGGACCCUGUCGUUGUGUCUGUGGAGAAGAGAGGUGUUGUCCUUUGCACUCCCUGGCUUUUUAUGCAAAACGGGGAACUCUCUACCCGUGAUGAUUUCUCCAUUGUUUUCCUUUUCCGGUUACAUGUCUACAAGUUAAAAAAAUCCACAACAGUGUGUCUCCGCUCACGGGGCGCUUUCUGCCACGCGGAGGCCCCUGGAAUGUUGUUUCCCCAUCUUUUGUUCGCUGUCACUGGCGUCGCUGGAGCUGUGGGCUGGCUCAGCCCCAACACACGCUCAGGCUGGACGUUUUGGGUGCCAAGGAAUUCAAGUAAGUGACUUAUGACAGGAAUUUGGUGUGAUGGGGGGAAAGAUAGAAGCCAGGAGGUUUCACUGUAGCUGUGCAAGUGGGAAUUCCUGACGCAUUUUCUUCUGAGCCUGCGAAGGCACUUGUAGCCAUGGGGUGAAGGUAAAGGGUGGAUGGAAAAUGGAAACAAAAUGACCGUUUUAUUUUAUUUUAUUUUAUUUAUUUUAUUUUUGGGGGGGCGCACCUGCAGCAUAUGGAAGUUCCCAGGCUAGGGGUCGAAUUGGAGCUAUAGCUGCCGGCCUACACCACAGCUCAUGGCAAUGCCAGAUCCUUAACCCACUGAGUGAGGCCGGGGAUCGAACCUGCAACCUCACGGUUCCUAGUUGGAUUCGUUUCCGCUGUGCCACAACGGGAACUCCAUGACAAUUUUAUUUUAAAAUGGCUAUUUCCAGUCAUUUUAUCCAAGACCGAAAGAUGUAAGUUCUUUCCUUUUUCUGACAGCCACGGAGCAGUUCUGGGGCUCAGAGCACUCUUUAUGAAUAUACGUAAUGUAGGGCACGUAGAAACCAUUCUGCCGCGCAGAAAGUGUGGUGCACUUGGUUGCUUGCCCUUUUUAGGUGAGGAAGCUGUGAUCAUUCCUUUGCAUUAAGCCACUUCUGUGUAAGGAUUUUUAAAUCCUUGUCCCUGGUAUCGACCAGCUGAGGGUAAACGUUGCUGGCUGUUUCUAACUGGCACCCCACCCACUAUUGCUACUAUGAAUAAUUCACAGCUUCCUUCCUAUGCAGAUCUGAGAGAAUUGUCAAAAUCAGACAGACGUACUGUUGUGUGCAUUCUCCCUCUUUUGUUGUGAUCCUUUUAUGCAGCCUUUUAUUUAAUAUAGUUUCCAAAGUGGAAAAAUGUAGCACUUNACCCAUUUAUCAUGUUCUCUGUGACAGAUACAGCGUAUAGAGAGAGAAUACAGCGUGCAGGUAGCACUUACUUUUCUCGAACCGUUCCGGAGUGAGCUGAGGAUAUUGUGCCCUUUUAUCACUGAGUUUUUUUAGUGCAUAUUUCCUAAGAACAAAGACAGAUACUUACAUAAUCAAAUUACAGAGAUAAAAAUCAGGGCAUUUAAAUGGUAAUCCAUGCCCCAAAUUCCCAAAUUGCCUGUUACCCUUUAUAACUAUUUUAUUCCUGUUCCAGGAUCUUAUCCGGGGUUAGACAUUGCAUUGAGUUCUGUGUCGUUGUAUUCUCCUUUACCUGACAUAGUUCCUGAGUUCAUUUAUUUUCUUUCUUGAUCUUGACUUUUUUGCAAAAUGGAAGUCUUUUUUAACUCGUUUGGUAAGAAAGCUGCAGAGAUGAUGCUUGCUCUCCUUAGCAUAUCUUGCUGAGACAUAGUGUUCUGUCUAAAGAAGUCGUCACAUACACAGAGCCGUCUGGAUUGUUGUUGCUGCUGCUGUUCUCUAGGAGUGUCACAGUUUCAUGUUUUACGUUAGGUCUGUGGCCCUCUUGAAGCCAUUUCUGUGUAACGGUCUGUCUCUAGAUUCAUUUUCUGGAAUGCGGAUGCGGUGGUUCCAACACCGUCUAUUGAAGGACAGGCCUUUCUCCAUUGAGCUGCCUUUGAUCCUUCGUCAGAGGUGGCUGCUAGAUCCGUGUGGACCUAUUCGGGGGUCUCUCCUUGCGCUUUCUGUUCUCUCGCCAGCACCGCACUGUCUUGGCCAUCGUAGCUUUUUCUAGAAAGUCUUGAGGUUGAGUCUGCUCAGUUCUUUGUUUUCUUCCCAGCCAGUGUCGUGUGGGGUUUUCAGAAUCUGCCUGUCAAUAUGCACGGAGUCCCUCGCUGGGUUUUGACUGGGAUUCUUUCGGAUCUGCGGAGGUUGCUAUGUAGACCUACUGGCGUGCCUGGGAAUAACGGCGUGAGUUAACUUGUCACCGUGCACUAGGACUUCUUCUGAUUGGUGGCCUGUAGACUCCUGAUGGGCCUUCAGGGCACCCCAUUCAACUCCUUGGUGCCUGUGGUUUUUACCCAAAGUGCCACAGAUAACAAGGUUCUAUCCUAGUCGAAUUAAGAUAUGGAGCGUGAAACUCAGACUAAAUGCAUAUUGGAAAAACCAAGUACUGUGAUUAGGGUGAAAGUUCCUUGCAACCUCUCGCGUCCUUGCAUUUGAAUGUUUUCCCAGCGUUCUCAAAACACCCUCGGAUGAACAGGAUUGGGUGCCCUGCUCAUUCUCUGAAGGAGGGCGGUGAUAGGCAGAGACGUGAGACGUUGUCUGAGAUUCCGUACUCAGCAAACAGUGUGGCUGGCGCCAUUCGUCACGACCUCAGAACCUAAGUCUCUUCCUCUCCCAGCGCAUUUGAUCUGGAUGGGAGUGGGGAUGACGGGGUGUGACAGGCGGACACCACGUCUUUGGUGGUUCUUCCCAUCCCGGAGCCACUGCUCACCUGCCCGACCUGGGCGGGGGCACUCCCAGCUCAUUAAAGCACGUUUCUUGGGCUCCUUUCGGAGGUUGCCUCUGCUAGUUAAUUUUACAGAAGUGGUGAACUAGACAGAACGUUACAGUGGAUCGCCCUUGAUAAAAUGUAUCAGCAUUCUUGGAGUUCCUGUCGUGGCUCAGCGGUAAGGAACCCAACUAGUAUCCAUGAGGAUGAGGGUUCAAUCCCCGGCCCCGCUCAGUGGUUAAGGAUCCGGCAUUUCUGUGAGCUGUGGUGUAGGUCGCAGCCUCGGAUCCGGCGUGGCUGUGGCUGUGGUGGAGGCUGGCUGCUGCAGCUCCGAUUUGACCCCUAGUCUGGGAUUUUGCAUAUGCCAUGGGUGCAGCCCUAAAAAUACAGAAGAAAAAGAAAAAGAAAUCACACAUUAAAGAAAAAAUGUAUCAGGAUUCCGCAGGUCAGGGUCUGUUUCAUAUCACCAGGAACUGAUGGACAGGGAGGUAGGAGAACCAUGCCUGAAACCACGCGGGUUCUCAGGUUCAGCCGAGGACCCCCGGCCCUGGACACGAAGGACUGAGCUGCCACCUGUGAGUCCUCUGAGCGGACUUCAGUGUGGAAAAUGCCACUGGAGCUCCGCCCCUGAGUUUGUCGUGUGGAGAAAUGAUGCGAGCCAUCUCUCCAGGUGCACUUAACCGAGUCUGACCUGAAGUUGAAUUUGCGAGGGAUGCGGCCCCAUGGAGCUGGGCCUCCUGGGUCGUGGUUCCGUUGCUCCUGGGCUGCGGUGGUCGUCCGCGUGCAGCGGCGGGAAACCCAAAAUAGAACCAAGCCCGUCGUGCUGCGGCUGACUCUCAAGACGCCGGUGUAGGAGUCGGGAGGGUCAGGAGGUUCAGGGCCCGGAGAGGUGGGGCGGCAGAAUAUUCUGGGGCUGAAUCUGCAAAGGACGUUUUUACUCCCACAUGUUAAUUAACAGGGGACAGCUGCCCAUUAACCAUCCGAGUCUAGUGACAGUGUUUCAUACAAGGUAUAUCCAUACACAGAAAUAAUCUUAGUAAUGCUUUGAUACAGACUCUAUCUAAUGGUUGCCUGUAUAUAAAAUAGCUCGUUAAUCUUUGCGUGUGUGUGUGGGUGUGUGAUCUUGUAAGUUUCUCUCGGUCUCUUCCUGCUAGAAUGUCAGCCCCCAAAGGCACGGGUUUUCACUGUGUGGUGUUUGAGGCCUCUCAGCAGCUAGGUCUUCGCUUCGUCAGGGUGGCCUCAGGUGUGCUGGUGGAGACGGAAUCGGCGUUGGCAUCAGGAGAAUGGGCUGCUGCCGUCGGGUUGUUCCGUCCCGAGAUAAGUAGUUCAUCUCCACGGCCAAGUUCCUCUUUGGUAAAACGAGAGCGAUAGUGUAUGUAUCUCUGGAAACAAGACCAUUCCCUGGCGGUGACCAUCCCCAGAGAAAAAUGUGCCUGUUUCCUGCUUUGUGAUUGGUUUUAAAUACAUGUUAGUUUUUUCCGCUAAAGCUUGCUGAUUCUUGCGGUAGCAGUUUUAAAACCAGCACAUAGGGCUAAAUAAGCUGCACAUGGCGUUGAGCAGUACUGAAGAGUCACCUGUUGUGCCUGGACCUGAGACAGUAAACCUGACCUCGUCCUUUCACUGUACUUUUGUUCAGUUUGUAAAACAAUGAAAGAAGCAGACAGAAGUGUAAGGCUUCUGUGUCACUGAGAUAAAAAUGUGUGGCUGGAUAAAUAGAGCCGCAGGUGCCCUAAGAUACUUUGUCGUGAGUUUGGAGAUGCUGAGGGGGAGAGGGCUGAGUAUAAAACUUGAUCCCCGAGAGAACGGGGUGAUUCUAAGACGGUAUUCAAACCCAUCAGCACUGCUCCAGAUUCAUAGAGUGAACCUAGGGGUUCCCACUGGGGGCUAAGAGUCCAGCAUAGUGAGGAUGCAGGUUCAGUCCCUGGCCUCCCUCAGUGGGGUAAGGAUCCAGCGUUGCCGUGAGCUGUGGCGUAGGUCGCAGACACAGCUCAUAUCCGAUGUGGCUGUGGCUGUGGCGCAGGCCUACAGCUGCAGCUCUGAUUUGACCCCUAGCCCAGGAACUUCCAUUGCUGGAGGUGUGGCCAUAAAAAAAAAAAAAAAAAAGCAACAAAAAAAUAGAGUGAACCUAUCUUCUUCCACAAACAAGACCUAAAUAUCAUUAACACCAGCUUUUCCUGGGAAACAGGAAGUAGAUGGUAUGUGAACAAACUUAAGUCAAAUGGAAUUAACAUUGAAUGAGGCAGGAUCAAUUUUAAGCACAACUCUUUUAAAGCUCUUUAUGUUAUCAAGGUGUUUCAAAAUAUAACUUUAAACGUUUCCAUAUUUCAUUUAAAAAGACAAAAUUAGACAGUUCCCAUCGUGGUUCAGUGGUAACAAACCUGACUAGUAUCCAUGAGGAUGCAGGUUUGAACCCCGGCCCCGCUCAGUGGAUUAAGGAUCCCGCGUUGCUGUGGCUGUGGUGGAGGCCGGCAGCUGCAGCUCUGAUUUGACCCCUAGCCUGGGAACCUCCAUAUGCCACAGGUGCAGCCCUAAAAAAAAAAAAAAAAAAAAAAAA